rnacentral:lncRNA from 1 species
GCAAAGCAAAGCAUGCCAAGGAACCUUCAUGGCUUCUAAAACCAAUAUUUGCCUCCUUCUCUUUCUCUCUUUCAUCUUCAUUUUUUCUACCAAAUCAGUAUCAGCAACAAACAACCUUGUUCUUGCUUCUGCUGCUUCUGAACAGAAUGCUGGUAACUCAUGAUCAACCUCUCUACCUUUUCUCAAUUUACACACACCACUAAAAGAAAAAACUGAUACUAAAAGAAAAAACUCAUAUUACCUAUACUUCAAAUCUGUAUGUAAAACAAUAAAUUCGUAUUCAAAACAUAGUUACAUACAGAUUAUAUAUAAAAAAAAAUUGUAUGUAAAACUGUCAUAGAUAACAUUUAUCUAUAAAUUCGAAAUUCGGAUAUAAAAAAUGAUUAGUUUUAUAUGUUGUAGGAUCAGGUGAAAUGAGUGAGGGUAGGAAACUCCUUGGAAUAGUUUGUAACAGAAAAAGCACCAAAAAGCGAUGGGAGGCUUCCUUCGAGAUUCACCGAAUUAGUAAGAAUGAUCCAGAAUGCCACAAUUAUCUGUGAUCUUCAAUGUGUUCCACUUCUCUGGAUGAACCACAGAAAGAUACAAAAUAUAUAUAAUUUUUGUUCAUGCAAUUUCUCUGAUUUCAGAUAAGCUCAAACUUAAUCCUUAUAUUGUAAGCUUUUGUCUCUUAAUUUUCUUAAACAGCACACUGUCUCCCAAGUAAAGAUGUAAUAAGGUUUCUGACACCACUCUGUAACAAGAUUCUGGAGAUUCAAUAAAUGUCAAAGAUCUGUUUAUUCUUAGGUGUCAACACUUCAUUUGCUUGGACAAUAUUUCAAAUUUUAAAUGAUUUUUUUUUAUAUUUC